AAAGAAAAGCCACUAAGUUGCCUAGGCUGGGCUCGAACUCCUGGGCUCAAGCGAUCUGCCCACCUUGACCUCCCAAGGAAUGAGCCACCGUGCCCAGCCUAAAACCACCUUUUGAAGUUUAUGCUAUCACCCAUAGCUUUUCAUUAUGGAGGUCAUCUGUAAGAUCUCUGACUCCAUUCUGGUGGUGCACGCCUGUGGUCCAGCUACUCAGAAGGCUGAGGUGGGAAAAUCACGUGGGCCCUGGGAGGCUGAGGCUGCAGUAAGCUGUGAUUGCACGACUGCACUUCAGCCUAGUGACAGAGCAAGACCCUUCUCAAAGCAAAAGAACAGCCACACAAAAAAAAUCUCUGACUUCUGUCGACAAAAAGAGUCAAAGUCUGUAAAAUUGUUGCCGGAAAAAACAGAGUCCUGAUCCAGACCCAAAGAGAAGGUUCUUGGAUCUCGUGCAGGAAAUAAUUUGAGGUGAAUCACAGAACACAAUGAAGGAAGCAAGUUUAUUGGAAACUACUCCGUUGAAGAGCGGAGCAACCUCAGAAAGCAGGCGGAGGAACACAAGGUCCUUUGUUACUGUCUCUGCUUGUGAGAAACUAUAAAGAGCUGUGAUUAAACUUGGAAUGCGCAGAUGUGCUCACUAAAGCCUUGAACUCCUGGGCUCGAGCAAUCUUCCUGUCCCAGCCAUCUGAGAAACUGAGACUACAGGUUAAGCAGCUCUACAAAAGCAACACACAAAGCAUAUGGAACAAACAGCAUGUAACUGGUCUAUCCUGCAGUGAAUUUUAUUGAAUUCAAAGGUAGUAUUCCUAUUUGAGAAA